rnacentral:rRNA from 13 species
CUGGCCUAUUGAUCCUUUCAGUUUUUAGAAUUUGAAAUGAGAGGUGCAAGA